GUCAUUAUAGGAAUCGAGUGAAACGUUACACCACUAGAUCAUCGCCUUAAUUGUUGAAUAUAAAAUAAAAUAAAGUAUAUUGUCAUUACUUAGAUGAACCAACAUUAAAGUAUAUUGUCAUAUAUCCAAACAAUGUAAUUCUUACCAACAGAUGUUGGUUCAAGUGAUACAUGCUUGAUUCCCCUUAAGCAAGGUCUCGUAUUCGAGUCUUGUGGAUGAAAAAAUGCCCGCUGAGAGAGUUAGCCCCACAUAUCUAUGGAUGUUCCCGGCUCAGACAAGAUUGCCUCCAGUGCGAGGAUACCUAUGAGAAACCAAAAAAAUAAAUAAUGUAAUUCUUCAAUUACAUAAAAAUUGUAUCCAAAUGAUAAAGAUAAUAAUGUUGUUCAAUGAUAUACUAGCUUUAUAAGUUGCCAAUAAAAUAUCACAAUUAAAUAAAUAACAAUAGAGUGUGUUUUGUAUAUAAGUGGCCUUGCUUUUGGCUUAUUAUUUGAGUUUUUCUUUGUUGAUUAAAACUUUAAUAUUUUAUAAUUAUAUAUUUAAUUUGUAUAAUGAUUUUUUAUUGUACAAUGAAAAUUUUGAACAAUAUAUUAAAAUCAAAAUAAAAUUUGAAUAAGGUAAUUAUAUUAUACUCUGAAUUUUUUAGUCUGAACAAAGAUCUUAGUCCUAAUAUUUAAAAAAAUGUAAUUAGAAAAAUCUUAGUUUUUCAUAUUUUUAUAAUAUUUCCAUUGAAAAUGAUUAGUAAUUUUAUAAUUAUUUACAUCAUUUUUUAAAAUUAUUAGUAAUUAUUUCUGAUAAUUAUCAAUUUAUAUUUAUUUACUUAUUCACUAUUUAUAAUUAACUUACAAUUUUUAGAAAUUAUUUUGUAAUUUUAUUUUAGUUUGGUGUAAUUAAUAUGAUAUAAUAAAUUUUAAAAUAGUAAAUUUGACCAAUAAAUUAUUAGAAGCUGAUAUAUUUUCGGGAAAAUUUAGUUUCUUUACUAAAAGUUACAAGUUAAUUUUUUCAACAAAUGACUCUAGUGGUUUAUUGAGUCAAUAAACUAUAAAAUUGCAAAUUUGUAUUGCUAUAAUAGCUACUUGAUCUUAGGAUUUUCCUAAUAGUGUUUUUUUGGAUGAAUGGGUAUUGAUAAUAGUUAAGAUUCACUAAACUUAUGAUUUUCACAAAUUGUCAUUAAAUCAUCAUUUGUUUUAAACAUUAAACUCAACACUUCUCUGCAUAGCAUCCACCACAAAAUUUAAAGCUCAUAAAACUCUCACAAAUCAACAUCACAUCAUUAUUUUCUUCAUAAGGCUCAAAUUCAUUUCAAGAAUAAUGCUUUCUGUGUUCCCCAUUACCUGUCUGUAGGAUAUAAACAUAAAACGAUGUAGCUAAUUAAUAUAGUUAAAUCUCAUAAUGUUUUUUUUUGUUUUUCAUAUAUUUAUUUCUAAAUUAAUUACUAUUAAUAUUGCUUCACUAAUUAAAUCCUACUAUAAGUUAUGCUGAUGACAUAAUUGAAAAAGUAGUUAUUCAUACUUUAUUAAAUUUCUAAGUUAGAAAUGGAUAGGUAAAUAAAAACAUUUUUUCUCCAAAAUGACAAUAGGGAAGGGAAUGAGUAAUCACAUAUUGUUUCUAACAAUUUUUUCAAAUAUUUUCCAUUAGAAUAUAUAUCUAAUUUUAUAAAGAAGUACAAAAUCAUAAUUAAAAGUUAGAAAAAAGAAAAACAUAUAGCAUGUAUUUCUCCUAAAUUAGAUUUCAAUACCUUUCUACUAUUUUCAUAAUUAUUCUUGUCAAUUAUUCAAUUGUUCUAAAUUCACUUUUAAUUCCUAUUUGAGUUAAGGAUAAAUUAAUUGUUAUAAUUAAAUGAGUUUUUCAAUCCUCGUGGGAUCAAUAUUUUAUUAUUUGACGACAUAAUCGUGCACCUGCGAUUUGUCCUAUCACCCAUGAAGGCACUAGUGAGGUCAAGCGGACUAGAUUAAAUGCAUUGUCACAUGAGUAUGAUUUAUUUUGCAUGUUUCCUUAUGAAUUUAUUAAUGAUAUGCAAAUGCGAUUUACUCACAUUGUUAACCUUCUUGUUGCAUUACAUAAAGUGUUUGCUAAAGAUGUAUUGACUAACAAAGUUUUAAGAUGUUAGAUAGGUAAUGGCAAGCAAGGGUGACAACUAUAAUGGAAUCAAUAGACUUGGAUUCUAUGUCACUCACAACACUUUUCAGAAAGCUUCAAGAACACGAGAUGGAGCUAGGACGCUUGACACUUUAUGAACAAACGAACAAGAACAACAAAUGAAUCUCUUUCAAAGCCACAUCUUCACAUUCAAAGUAGAGCUGUCAAAAUGGGCUACCUAGACGGAUUCGGGCUAGCCCGAAUCAGGCUCGGUCUAGAUUUGACUGGGUUAAAAAACCCAGUUCUAAUUUAUAGAUACAAAAUUGCUACCCAAACCCGUUUUAAGCCGGCCACGAGCUGUGGCAGGCCAGCCUGCAUAACAUCAUUGAAUAAAAAAAUACUUUGAUUAUUUUAAAUAGUUUUUUUCCUCCUAUUUUUAAUUAUUAAAUUUGAUUUUUAUGUUAUCGAAAUUUAUAUUGUUUCAGUUAUAUCAAUCUGUGCUAUGUUCAACAACAAACAAAGCACAAACUAAAGAAGGUAGAUGGCUCAUACUUGUGUUAUUUGGUUGCAUCAGACUAUCAAUAUUGCGCACUAGCCAAUAGUCAUAUUCUCUUCAUAUUUGUUUUUUGUUGAAUUGUCAGAAUUAUAUUAUUCCACCUCCAAUGAUCAUCGCUUGGAGUUGGAGGUUUUAAGGAUGAUUAAAAUGAUUACCAAAUUUAUAAUUAUUUUUUCUUAAAUUUUAAUAGAAUUAUAAGUAAUUUUGGAUAAGUUUAUCUUGAACUACAAUUUUUAAUGACAGUACACAUUUCAUUGCACAAACAUCACAUGCAUUUUCAUCUCAUGAUUAUAAUCUAGAAAUAGAGCCCAAGCAGACAAGAUUGAAGAGGUGUUACAUUAUUAUUUUUGGAGACAGUCUGAACAUGAUUUUCAUUUUAUCUAGUUACAGCACUUCUAUAAAAACUGUUUACCUAAAUCAAAAGAUUUUGCAUUACUAUUUUUGGAGAUGUGCACAUGUUCCAUUAAAAAUAUAUUCUAGUUUCUUGAUAGCAUAUGUUCAUGAAACCGUUUAACCCUCAUUGUAACCAUGUUCCACCAUGAUUCCCAAAGUCAAGAAUACUCAUGAUCUUUCACUUGAUGGGUAGCAUAAUCCUACUAUGGCCAACAUCCAGUGUGCUCCAUUAGGUCAGAAAACAACUAGUAACAGUAAUUUUGAAUCUUAAUCAUUACUGAAGUAUAUAUAAGUUAAAGAUUAGGUGGAAUAUGGGAAGCAUGGAGAUAUCUCGCAUGAGUGGGUAACCAUAUUAAGUCCUAGAUCCUGCAAAAAAAGGAAUUUAUAUAUUUUCAAAUUUUUAGAGUUCAAUGAAAAAUGGAGUAAGAUAAGGAAAAUCUAACCUGAAGUUAUUUUGUGUGAUAGAGAAAGAAACACUGUAUUUGAAAAUUUGAGAGACAUUGAAAGGUCUUCGAUUUUACUUAAGUUUGAGAGAGUGAAAAAACACUACAUUUGUUUCUCCCUUCGCAAAUGGGAAGUGGAAAGAAAAGUUAUUUUGUUAUUGUGCCAAACCAGUGUACAACGGAUAUAAAAAUGAAUGUGCAAUCCGAACCCGCCCGGACCGGACUAAAAUGCCUGGUUUCAAUAAAAUUCAUAUAAUAAGAUACCCAUGUCCUAUACUUUUUUGGGCUUCGGUGGGCUAGCCUAGUAGGCCCGACCCCUUUUGACAGAUCUAAUUCAAAGAAUCAAGAAGAAAAAUUUAGCGAUGAUGAGUUCGAUUUGAUAUGGAUGACGAAACUAUGUCCCUCCUUAUCAACAAAUUCAGAAAGUUGUUAAGAAGUAAGGGAGGAUUCAGAAUGUUUUAGAAAGAAUAUGCAAAAGACUUGAUCAAGAAGGGCAUGUAUCCUAAAGACAAAGUGACUUGCCAUGAGUGUGGGAAAGUAGGGUACAUGAGGUACACAUGUCACACUUUUAUCAAUAAGAUUGAGCAUGAUAAGAAAGACUAUGGGGAAAUCAAAUCUAAGAAGGCAUAUAUAGUUGGGGAUGCAGUAGAAGAGGACACACCAACAAGCACCUCAAAAGAUAAAGAAUUGAACAAGUUAUGCUUUAUGACGCAAAAUCCGAAUUCGUGUCAAGCAAGUGAGCAAGAUGAAUCUAGUGAGGUAAGCUCUUCCGAUUCUAGUUCUAAUUCCGAUGAUUCCCCCAGAUAUGAUAUGGUUUAUGCUGCUUAUGUUGAAAUGCAUGAAAAACUUAAAAAGUUAGCGAAAAAGUACGUAGAUAGGACAAAGUUGAUUUUAGAAAAUGAAAAGAAAAUUUGUGAAUUGCAAAAUUGUAUUCAUGAGCUUUAACUAGAAAAUGAAACUUUGGAUCUUAUCUAUGCUAACUCUUCAUGUGAUUGUUCUACUAAGUUAAUUUGAUGCCUACUUGUGAAAAUUGCACUUUCUUGGAAAAAGAAAGUAAAAGUUUAAAAUACAAAGUUGGAAAUUUCACAACAAUUAGUCACAACUUAUUUGCUACAUGUAAAAAUAUUGGGAAUAUGUCCGGUUUGGGAGAUAUGCAUGCAAAGAACAAAUCUUACAAGAAAUGGGUAGAUUUUUUGAAAAUUUCAUAUCUUAAGUCCCCUACUUGUUUGUAUUAUGGUAUGCAUGGUUAUAAUUUGAGUUCAUGUCAUAUUAGAAUGCAUGGUGUACCAAAUGGACAAUAUAUGUGGAUUUCUAUGGGACAAGGUCCCGAGCUAUUAAACAUCAAGGGACCCAAGAUCAUUUGCGUACCCAAGUCUUAUAAGUAAACUUGUUUUGUAGGUGUGCCUAAGGACAUAUGGACAUCAAAUCAUACUUGAAUAAUAGAUGUUCUAGGCACAUGAUAGGUGAGAAGAUCAAGUAUUAUUGACCUAUCACCUAAGGAGAAGACAAUGUCACUUAUGGAGAAAAUUGUCAAGUCAAAUGCUUGAAGUUAGAAAGAUUAUGCUCUAAAGGUAAAAAUGUAUCUCUUCUAACUCUAAGUUUUACAUAUUUUAAGUAACAUAGAUAAUGUUAUUAAAUGAGAUACUAGUGAGACCAAUUUUUUUAAAAAACCCCUAUAUAUCAUUUUUAAGGUGAAAAACUAUAUAUUUCUCAUUUACAUGCUUUUGAAUGCAAAUGCUUCAUUUUAAAUAAUUGUAACCUCCUUUUAAGCAUGUUUGAUUCAAAAGUGAAUGUAGAAAUAUUUCUAGGGUAUGCUACUCAUGAUAAAGUACAAUAAGUCUACUUUAUGUUAAGGACAAUGACCAUUUUGAAAAGUUUAUACAUUUUUUAUAUUUGACGAGCCAUCUCCAAAAGAGGAUAGGAAAGGUAUGUGUAAUGUUUUGCAUGUGCUCUUGAGGAUGCACAUUCUAAAAGAUCGAUAUACUAUGCAAGAAGAGAAAGACAAGAAUCAAGAACUUGAAGAAAGGCUAAAGAAGAUUUAAUAUAUGGCAACUUCUUGUUAUCUUGAUAAGGAUGAAAAAGGUAAAGCUAAAGAGGUAACCAUAAUACCGAGGCAUGUUUUGUUCUCUGCUGUUUUAUCAUACAUUAUGCCUGAUAUCAUGCUUAGUGUUUGCAUGUAUACUAUAUGCCUAACUAAUCCUAAAGAAUCGCACUUAUUGCCAAUAAAUGCAUGCUUUCUUGAUUGUACAUGCUUUCAUGUGUUUUGGCUCUAGUCUAGUGUGUAUUAAGUGCUUAGGAUAGGUUCUUUCUAGUGUUCUCUUAGUAAACCCUGAGACAAAUCCGAAUUGUGCUAAAAUAUGUGAUAAUGACUUAUUUAAUCGAUUGUUCUGUGUUUUAAUUGAAUACCUUAGAAAUUUCAAAAAGUGUUAAUCGAUUAUAUAAGCCCUGAAUCGAUUACCUGAACUUAUUUUUCAAAAUACUUAAUUGGUUAAACAUGGACUUAAUCAAUUUUCUGUGUUAAUUUUUCAAACCUAUUAAUUGAUUAACACAAUCGAUUACAUAUAGUUACAAAAUAAAUUCAAGUACAAUUCUAAGUUUAGUUCUGGUCUAGGUUUACCUCAUGUAUUAUGUCUUUCAUCCUCAAAUUCAUCUUGCCUUUCUUCCUAAUAUUGAAAUAUUUUAAUUUUAAGAGAGGGUGUGUUGAAUAAAAAGAUGAUAUUUACCAAUGAACAUGUAUGUUUUUCUGUUCAUAUAAACACAAUAAAAGUUCAAAAAUUAAAGCCCAUUUGAUAUAAUUGAUCUGUCGGGAAUAUUGAAAAUGUAAAAUAUAUAUCACUAUAAUUUCCAACAAUAAGUUUAUUACUACUACAUGUUCUAUAAUAUAAAGUUUAACAUAAAACAUCAAGUCCAUAUAACCACAAACAAGUUUAUUAUAUGUAGUACAUUAUUUUACAACAUGAAUGAAAAAAUGUCAAUAAACUUGCAGGUUUAGUAGUAAUGAUAAACAAAAAUACAAAUAUGUACCAUUAACACUAAAUGGCAGAGUUAUUUAAUCUAAGCAUGAAGAAUUUGACUCUAGCGUGUGGUUGAAAAGAACUAUGUUAAGAGAAAUAUAAAUAACUUUGACAAUCUUAUAUUUCAAAAGAAAUUAAUAUUAUCAAUAGUGGAACAUACCCUUGAUGCAAUGUUGUUGACUUGGAAAUCAUCUUUCUUCAUCUUGAAUCAAAAGUUACGCCUACAUUUCUUUCUAGAAGAGCAGCCCUUGUUAUAAAUUGGUUUCUUGAAGUGAGGUUUUUGAUUUUCUUUACAACCAGCCAUUCUAUUUCCAGUUAUUUUACAUAAUUCACCUUUUAUGUUGAAACCCAUAACACCUUGGUUGAGCAUAGUCAUACUUAGAAGAAGAGCACAAAGAAACAAAACCUUCAUGAUAAAGUUGAUGUUUUGAUCUUCUUUAUGCUCUAUGAUACUUUGCAACU
rnacentral:lncRNA from 1 species